rnacentral:tRNA from 1 species
GGAGGGUAAGCGAAUUGGCUAGCACCCUGAUUGGAAUUCAGGCGCCGGUUUACCGGUUGCGGGUUCGACUCCCGUGCCCUCCGC